CUCAUUUUGGCAAGACAUAUACAAAAAUUGAAAUGAUAAAGAAAAGAUUCCCAUGGCCCCUGUGCAGUGAUGACAUAAGCUCAUAAAGCAUUUCAUAUUUUA